GUACCCUCAAGCUUUGCUUGGUGUUGGGCGUCUUGUCUCUCACGAGACUCGCCUUAAAAUCAUUGGCAGCCGACCUACUGGUUUCGGAGCGCAGCACAAUUCUUGCACUUUGAAUCAGCCUUGGUUGAGCAUCCAUCAAGACCAUUUUUCAC
rnacentral:misc_RNA from 1 species